CAUUUAAUAGGCUCCAAAACACUCAAAAUAUCUACCGGGUCUAAAUGCCACAGUCAAUGCAGGUGUCCAUCUCUCUUUUUUUUUUUCUUGCUUUGUUUAAUUAAAAAUAAAUAAAUCAAGCAGUCCACUUAGAGGACGUUUCUUCUCUCUGGUGGAUGAGGCAGGGCCUUAAGGGUCUCUUGUAGGGAGAUGAUGACCUGGCAGAGAUGUCCACGUCCUAAUCCCUGGGACUGCAGAUACAGUGCUCUGUGUCAUCACAUCAGCAAAAGGGACUUAUCAGUUAAAGGUCUUGAGAUGGGGAGGUGACCCUCCCAGGAGGAAGGCAGGAGGGUCAGAGAGGGAGAUGGAUGAUAAAGGGCAACUUCAGAACAGGCAGGACCGCAGCCCAGGAAUAGAGCUGGCCUCUAGGUGCUGGAGGAGGGAAGGAAAUGGAAAUGGACCCCCACCCCGACUCCAGAGCAUCUGGGGGAGCACUCUGCACUUGUGACCUGCAGAACAGUGAGAGAAUACAUGGCGUUGCUAUAGGCCCCUCCUUUUGUGAUCGCUUGGCCCAGCAGCCCCAGGAAGCGCAUGGAGGUUUUGACGUAAAGUUUGAGUCUUCCUUGGAGACAGUGGCCCGUCCGAUUGUAGCAACAGCUCUCAAUCACCGAGGGUCAGAACAUGCUGGAAACUGCUCCCGACGCCCAGCAGAUCCCGUCUGAGAAAGAGGUCACCAACAUCAACCUUAUUUUGUAGACCACAAACUAAAGCUCAGAGCACUCUCUUUUAACCAGAGUCAGCUUUGACAUCCAGGGGACACUUGGCAAUGUCUGGAGACUUUUUUGGUUGUUACAACGGGGAUCAGGGUGUUCCUGGCCUCGAAUGGGGAGAGGCCAGUGAUGGAUUUCUAGGGAGCUCCUGGGGGGCAGCCUGCUCUCAGUUUUCUUCUGAGUACCUGCAUUUGGCGGGGUGCACCAGGUUAUUGGUAAAUGAAUGUGCAUUGUGUGUGCUCUUGGGUGUGUUUGUGC
rnacentral:lncRNA from 1 species